rnacentral:rRNA from 1 species
GAUGAACGCUGGCGGCGUGCCUAAUACAUGCAAGUCGAGCGAAACUUCUUUAUCACCGAGUGCUUGCACUCACCGAUAAAGAGUUGAGUGGCGAACGGGUGAGUAACACGUGGGCAACCUGCCCAAAAGAGGGGGAUAACACUUGGAAACAGGUGCUAAUACCGCAUAACCAUAGUUACCGCAUGGUAACUAUGUAAAAGGUGGCUAUACUACCGCUUUUGGAUGGGCCCGCGGCGCAUUAGCUAGUUGGUAGGGUAAAGGCUUACCAAGGCAAUGAUGCGUAGCCGAAUUGAGAGGUUGAUCGGCCACAUUGGGACUGAGGCACGGCCCAAACUCCUACGGGAGGCAGCAGUAGGGAAUCUUCCACAAUGGGCGAAAGCCUGAUGGAGCAACGCCGCGUGGGUGAAGAAGGUCUUCGGAUCGUAAAACCCUGUUGUUAGAGAAGAAAGUGCGUGAGAGUAACUGUUCACGUUUCGACGGUAUCUAACCAGAAAGCCACGGCUAACUACGUG